rnacentral:lncRNA from 1 species
UAAUGUUUGCGGCUUCGAUUUAUGCUAUUUGGCGUGAAUGUAAUGCUAGGACCCAUGGGGAGGCUCCUAAAAAUGAGUCUAUUGUUAUUCAAGAUAUUGUUUUUACUAUUUGUGCACGAGUGAACUUGUACAGUAGCUUGGUUCCAUCUAAUGAAAAUAGAUGGCUCCAACGCUCUUGGGGAUUUUCUACAGAUAUUUUUUGUUCUCGUGAUUAGGAUAUGAGCACUUUCUAGAAUUUUGCUAUUGUUGUUAGGAAGACAUUAAUUCCUAGCAUUGUUUUCUGGGAUAUGCCCCUGUGAUUUGUACUUAUUUUUAUACUUUGGAU